UACGUAGGGGGCUAGCGUUGUCCGGAUUUAUUGGGCGUAAAGAGCGUGUAGGCGGCCACGCAGGUCCGUUGUGAAAACUGGAGGCUCAACCUCCAGACGUCGACGGAAACCGUGUGGCUAGAGUCCGGAAGAGGAGAGUGGAAUUCCUGGUGUAGCGGUGAAAUGCGCAGAUAUCAGGAAGAACACCAAUGGCGAAGGCAGCUCUCUGGGACGGUACUGACGCUGAGACGCGAAAGCGUGGGGAGCGAACAGG
rnacentral:rRNA from 1 species